rnacentral:rRNA from 1 species
GACGUAGGGCGCGAGCGUUGUCCGGAUUUAUUGGGCGUAAAGAGCUCGUAGGCGGCUUGUCGCGUCGAAUGUGAAAUCUCAGGGCUCAACUCUGACAUUGCAUUCGAUACGGGCAGGCUAGAGUUCGGUAGGGGAGACUGGAAUUCCUGGUGUAGCGGUGAAAUGCGCAGAUAUCGGGAGGAACACCAAUGGCGAAGGCAGCUCACUGGGACGGCACUGACGCUGAGACGCGAAAGCGUGGGGAGCAAACAGG